GGAAUGGGCCAAGUUCAUUUAGGUUGGGAUAAGCUUUGAUGGAUAUUCCAUGGAGUUUUUAACACAUGGAUCCUAUGGAAAUGAAAGGUCAUGGGUAUUAGGGCUUAAAUGAAAGUAACCCUAAUCCUCCAUACUAUAUAACGAGGUCUUUGGCACAUGAAAUGACACUAGUGUGGGAAAUACAAGAGUGGGACGAUUUCUAGUGUGCAUGAUAUUCUCUCAAGGUUUUCCAAGAUGUUUUGGUGAUUUUUGAUUCCACAUGAGGCUUCCACACUAUUGGGUCUAAGAUCUUAAAGUUCAAGACUUUAAGCUUCAUCAAAAGGUAUGUCUACUAACUUGUUUUAUUAUGCAAGUAUCAAAGAAUGUAUGCUAGUUAGGGUAAUACCUUGGAAAGUUCAUAUUUUCAUGUAUCAUAGAAAAAACAUAGAUCCAAGGUAUUUAGGGUUGCAUGUACACCAUAGGAGUGUUAGAAUUGUCAAAACCUAUCAGUGGUAUCAGAGCUUAGGCUUGUUUUCACUUAUACUUGAUGAAAAUGGCUAAAAAUCGAAGUUUCUUGCUGUUUGGGAAACUAACUCGGCGAGUCCAUCAGGUGACUCGACGAGUCCAUUCCUAAAAAGUGCUUAAAUUCAUCAAACUUGUCAAGUUGGUUCAUGCACUCGACGAGUUGGACCCCUUGACAACAUAUAUUCGAGUUUUUUGGCUGGAAUUGGACUAGAAACAUUACCCUAAGCUGUUUUUGAACUUGUAAAGCUGUUUUUGAUGUGGUAAUGUUUAUGCUAAUCCAAUUUCAAAGAUAAUUGUCAAUAGAUUCAUGUUUUGAAUUAUUUUAAUGGUUAGGCUAAUUACAUGAAAAUUGUUUGAUUUAAAUUGUCUUGUUCAUAUGAGUUUAAAUCAAGAUUAUGAAUAUUGCUAGAUUUGUUUGUGAUAGUUAUUUUAAUCCAAAUUGAUCUAAAAGUUAUUCAUAAAUUGUGUUUUUGUAACUUGUCCUCAAGUUAUAUGAAAUGUCACAUUUAUGAUUUAUAAAACCUCAUAAGAUUUCCAUAAGUUAUAAAAAGAUGAAGAGUCUCAUUUUUAAAUGCUUUAAAGUCUUCCAUAACUUGUCCUCAAGUUAUGGAACUUGAAGAGUUUUUCAUAAAAACUACUUUAAACUCAUAAGUUAUGGAAUUGAAAAGUUUUUGAGUUGUUCAAAACUUGCCCUCAAGUUUUGGAAUUUAAAAAGGUUUCCUCUCAUGAAUACUUUAAUUCCAAGCUAAAUCCUUAGAAUUUUAAAAGUUAAAAUUCAACCCUUUUACUAUUAUAAUAUUAUAAGUUAAUAAUAUGUAUAUGUAUAAGAACAAGUCGUUUUACCAUUAGUAGGCCUCAUUCAUGAAGUCGGUCUAUAAGAGGGGAUAUAAGGUUAUUGGCUAUAAAAGGGCGGUUUAAUGGGUGUCCACUCUCAUCCACCGCUACCUUGACCGGUGGAGGGUCGUUAGCCGAACGGGUAGGAUAAGGACUAUAAUUCUCCCUUCAUUAUAAGUAUAAUAAUAAAUAUAAAGUAACUAAACCUUUUAUAAAUUCCCAAUCUUAGUUACUUUAGGAAAAUGUAAAUUUGGUGCUAAUCCAUGAAAUUACACUUUGCACUUUGCUUAAGUCGUUAGUGGAGCGUGUGUAGUUAACCAGCACACUAACUUGUAUUUAACAAGGUAGACAAAGGGUAACUUAAUGUUUAUCACAGGAGCGAUGGAGCGUGUGUGGUUAACCGGCACAUCGAUUAAGUGAUAAAUGUUAAGGGUACCAAGUAUAUUUGCAUGGUUAUUCACACCUUAUUAUUGAUCCUCGACAUCCCAGUCACAAACUUGAUAGGGCACAAUCGAGAUUUUAAAUAUACUAUUGAAAAGUUCAAUGAAUCUCACAAGAAUCUAGGAGUUUCCUAAACCAAUUCAAACCUAAUAAUACAUUUUGUUUUUCAUGGUGGAAAUUGGUGAAUCGUCAUUCGCCUACCUUCAAAUAUUUUAUAGCUUGGAUUAUGUGACAACCCAAAACUUUCCAUUCUGUUCAACCAUCCACUUCAAUAUGAGUUAAAACUACUUCUACUAACUUUCAAACUUUUUGGAAUAAGUUUGAGUGGUUUAAAGUUAGUGCUUCAGGAGAUAUCAGGAGAGUGGAUACCCUAAGGUUUACUAUGUAACAAUAAGUGCCCAAAACUUCAAGAAUUUUAAGUUUACGAUCCACAGAGGUUUUGGGACCGUAAACCCAAAAGACUAUAUAAGUGAGACAUAGAAAUUUUAAUCACGUUUUCACAUUUCCAAAGACUAAGGCCAUUUCUCUCUCAAGUAUCAUCCCGUUUUCUUCAAAUAUCUUCAACUAGUAAGUGUUUCUAGCCCUAUUAUCAUUAGAUCAAGUAUUAAACAUCAAGAAAUCAUCAAAAUUCCCUAAGAACAAGGUGUUCACGGCCCAAGAUCUUCUUGGACCGUGAACACUAAAAGUAUGGCUUAAAUGUGCCUUUUGUCCCUUUAGACCUUGGAAACAAGUAUAGCAACAACCCUUGACAUGUUUAAACCUUAAGAGCAUCAAGAAAACACCCAAAAUCACAAAGGAUAAGGUGUCUACGGUCCAAGAAUCUCCUUGGACCGUAAACCCUAAAAAGGGUGCUUAAAGUGUGCCAAAGUGCCCUAAACUCUAGCCAAACCUUAGAAGCAAAAAUGGAACCUUCCUUUGAUAUGUUUAGCACAAGAAAACCACAAAAAUGUCCCAUGUCUAUGUGUUUACGGUUUGGGGAGCUCCCAAAACCGUAAACACCCCAAUGAGGGUUUUAAUGCCCCAUAUUCCUUCCUUAAGCCAAGAAACUAGCCUAGACCUUUACCUAGAAGUGUUUAGGAAUUGAAAACUUCAUUAGACCAUAAAUCAUAUGAGUUUACUACCGUAAACCCAAAGAAAAAUGGUCCAAAAACCGUAAACCCUAUAAAGGGGUGAUAUGUUGCCCUAAUCACUUCCUAAGGCUAAGACUUGAAGUUAGGAUGCUUCAAAAUGACUUCUAGGACUUCAAACCACCAAAUGGUCAAAGUACCAUGAGUUUACGGUAGUAAACUCAUGGGUUCCAACCGUAAACUCAAGUGGAGUUGGUUACAAAACCAUAAACACCAAUUAGUGUCAUUUCACUUCCCAUUGUCGAAUCACAUGUGAUUCCAACACCUAGCCAAGGUGUUUCUUAGUCCCGGAAGGUGUUAUCUUUCAUAUAGUUCUUUAAAACACUAUAUUCAGGUCAAUAUGUGUCCUUAUAUAUCAUUUAGGACUUAUUGUGUCUCGGGACUUCAUCCGUGGAAGUUCUCAUCCGUACGCGCAUACCCUUUUGAACCACCCACAUCAGGUGAGUUCAUACCCCGUAAUGAAUCUUUUAAACUAUUUUAACUGUUUUAAGGUGGGGAAUACAAGUUGAACACAAUUAUAAUUGUGUAAAUGUUUGUUAUAAACAUCUUUCAAAAAUGUUACUUAUGUCAUUUAUAAGUUGUCAAUACAUUUCAAAACUCUUUUAAAGGUUGUGUUACUUUAUAGUUGUACAAAACUCCGUUUUUAAAGUAUAAGCAUAACUUGGUAGAUAAAUGAGUCUUUUCAGUAACAGUACAGUUAGAAGAUUAGUAAAAUAUUAUAGGUAUAGUUUAGGAGAAUGCUAUUCAUUACUUCUAGUACAAUGAAGCACACAAAGCAAAAAAAAUACAAGAACAGAGCAAACAGUGAAGAGAAUCAAACAAUACCAGAAUAGAACAUAACAAACCAGUUAGGUUGCUAUAGCAUGAUAACACACAGACAGGAUCUAAUUAUACCAAUGAAUCACUAACGCAUUAGUGAUGGUUAUAUUGGGUAUACAUGAUCAUAUAACUUUAAUGCGAAUUACACGGCUUGCAUGGAUUUGUUGGGGUCGCGUUGGGUUCCCUCAAUCUCUUUACAUUGAGAGCGUUUAGUAGGGGUUCUAGCUUUCACAUUAUGACCGUAAUAAAAUGAAUAUGUUUUUAGGUUAAUAAUACCUCCGCAUGUCAUUAUAAACGACAUCAGUGUACUCACUUCUCCCAUUACUUUCAUAAAGUGUCGGUAACACUUGAAAGUUGAUCUAUUUUCUAUUCGAGAUAGUUAUAAACUAGGAAGAAUAUACUUCUACAUUUGACAAAGGAACGGUCGGGUCUUGGUAGAAGGCUACUUUCAAAAUAGUCGAGUCUUCGUAGAAGGCUUCUUUCAAAACAGUCGAGUCUUGGUAGAAGGCUGCUUUCAAAACAAUCAAGUCUUGGUAGAAGGCUACUUUUAAAAGUUAGGACCAUAAUGCUAACGUUAUAAUUCCUUAAUGUAUACACUAUAGGAUACAUAUAUGCUAAGUAGAUUCCGACAGCUAAUAGGAUGUGUGCUCUUCGCUGUACGUCCUGUUCCCGUUGGAUGUGGGCUUACACUGAGGUCACCCAGUCUAUUAUCUACCCGAAUCUAUAUAUAUUUAUGCUUAGUAUACAUUAAGUCAUCAUAAGGGUACCAGGUAUGGAUCAGGUCAUAGGAUACAGAGUCAGCGCACAGUUAUUCUAGUACAAAACUUACUUUUCAAAGUCAGUACUUUUGUAUACAAAACUAGCGAUUUCCCAGUUAAGGGCUUAAUCCAUUUUAUUAAGCCAGUAUAGUUUUAAAGACUUUAAGUGAGUUAACUCUAUAACACCUUAGUUUAUACACCAUGUUUAUAUAUAAAACUAGUAUCCAAUAGGUAGUUAAAUGUGUGUUUUCCCCCGACGUCCUGUUCCCGUUGGAUGUGGGCUUAGGGCAGAUUCCCCCAAUUAACUAUCUACCCAAUAUCAAAUUAUAUAUAGCAGCAUAAACAAAGCUAUUAUAAAAGUAAUCACCGUAGUCAAUGUUUUACUAUAAGAAAUAUAGGUUUUCUUAAAAGAACUAUCCAUUAGAUAUAAAGGAAUCAUUACAAAUAACUCCAUGAGUAACAAGUGAAUACACCAAGAUUAUAUAUGACAACGAUCUAACAACCAAUGGAAUGUGUGCGAUCCGCCUUACUUACUGUACCUCGUUGGGUUGUGAGUUGAGGGCAGAUGCGCACAAUCGAUUGUUUAUUUACUCCAAGUAUAUAUAUAACUUGUACCCUCUUAGUACGCAUAGAAAGGCUUGUAGUGUCAUUUUACUUAACUUCCAUUAAAGUAGGAAAUAUAGGAUUUUCUAGAGGAACAGGCGAACUUUUCAAAACAGAACUUACAACUUACAUCACUUUUACAUAUACAUUUUUUCCACAUCUUACAGCUUACAUCACUUUACAUAUACAUUUUUAACAACACUAUACAACAUACUCACAUCACAAAAAUCUUAUGAACUCGCCAGCUUAAUUGCUGAUCAACUCUUUCAAAUAACUUGUAUUCUCAAGAGACUAUUAGACAGGUGUUCGUGCUGGGAAUUUAGAAGAGGGAGCAUUACAGCGUCAAGUCUUGUUUUGUUAUUUGUUUAUGACUUCUAUGUUUUGUGAACACACACAUUGUAAACACUUUCUUUCUUUCUAAAUGAAAUGGUUGUUCAUUACUUGCUUACCAUAUACAUAUCUUGUGAUACUUGACAUGACGUCCUCCACCCCCGAACGUUUCCGCUGUUCCGGUUUUGGGGUGUGACAGAUUGGUAUCAGAGCAUUGUUUAUAGUGAACUAAGUAUAUCAACCGAUAAAAGAUAUACAGCUAUAAAUACAAUGGGGCUUAAGUGCUCUGUAUAAUGAUAUAUUUUAGAGUAUAACUUCAAGUUAUAAAAAUAUACCUACUUGCUCAUACAUGUACAUAAUAGAACUAGUGUCACGAGGAGAACAGAACUAAAGUAUUUAAUGGUUGGACACUGUCGUCAACUUGUACAGUUAUGUAAUCAUAGCUAGGAUCAAUAUAGCCUAAUCAACUAUAUUCAUUCGAUAUGUGACCGACAUAUGUUUGGGAAUGAUGUGGUGUUGCAACAGAGUUAAAACUUACCCGAACACCAGUCAAGAGAACGCCAGAACAAGUACUGUUAGAGUUAGAAUACUAUAGGAGUAUUUUAGUCCAGAUAAAUAACUUAUGUGAUAACUUAAAAGACCCUUGCGGAUAGGUCUAUAAUCUUACAGGGUAUAUUCAUAAAGUUUUAUAUAUAAUCAAGAUCUUAUAGACAUAGACUUUGUGACCGACGCUUCACUAUCCAUUCCUUUUAAGGAAGUAGUGUUGAGGUGGGAUCAAUUAUUCGAAGGUAUAUUUAACCUUCAAUUAUAUAUAAUGCAAAUUGGUGUACCUAGUACGAUUAUAGGAGGAUUCCGUAGGGAUCACCCCAUAAAGGUACCUUAAAGUUCAUAGGUUCUUUCGUCACUGUCAUUCUCGCACAACAAGCCCAGAUAAACGUAACCACUUCCUCAUAGUAGACAACAGAAGAGUUAAGGAGGAAAAAGGACAAAUUCAUGAUAAGAUUUCAGGGAAAGAUCAUCCGAAGUAACCAAAACGUCUCACGCGUCACACUAAUGAAUAUUAAUUAGGUUAAUUUAUCAAGCGAGUGGAAACACUGCUCACAUUUCAUGUGUUAGAAUUAUUUUCUUACAUGCAGCUAGUAACAGUUAUUUAGGAAACAAAUAUUCAUUCGAGGAUAGUCAUUUCAAAUUCAUAGAGUUUAUUAGGUAUAGACUCAUGUAUGAAUUGUUUCUAAAACCCUGUGGAAGUCAAGACCAGAUACAUCCAGAACUAGGAUAACCUUGUCUUUUCAGCUUUCGGCUUGUGUCCGUUACUAUAGACUUAUUCUGUCUCAUCUUUGUUUUCUUUUAGCAAAGAUGCCUCCUCGCAGAUCACCCAAACACGCUACUCCGAUAACUCCCAUACCUUCUCUGCAAAUCGAUGCAGCAACUCUGAACGCUGCAGUAGUCGUGGCUGUGGCAACAGCCAUGGCACAAUAUCACCCCAUCAGUACGGGUGGAGGUGAAACGCCUACUGAUUCUACUCAAGGUGAGGUCCCUGUGCGCCAGGGAGAGUUCUCCUACAAGGACUUCACCAGAUGCCAACCAUUGUCCUUUAAAGGGAAUGAAGGAGUCAUUGCUCUCAUGCAAUGGUUCGAGAAAACAGAGUCGUUUUUUGAAAUUUGUUUAUGCCCAGAAGGAAGCAAACUGAAGUUUGCUGCCUGCACCUUCGAUGGCAAGGCCCUAACAUGGUGGAACAGCCAUGUUAAGUCACUGACCUUAUAAGUGGCAAACUCAAUAGGUUGGGAAAACCUAAAAGAGUUAAUGCGAGAAGAAUAUUGCCCGUUAGGCGAGAUUCAAAAGCUGGAACAAGAGUUGUGGGAUCUCGCUAUUGUCGGCUCAGACAUAGUGACCUACACCGACCGGUUUAGCGAACUAGCAGCUCUAUGCCCCGAGAUGAUUACCUCGGAGAGCAAGAAGAUAGAAAGAUACAUUUGGGGUCUGACUGCCCCGACCCAAGGAAAUGUGCUGUCUUCUACCCCAGCCACGUUCGCUAGUGCUAAAUGCUUGGGUCAGCGACUCAUCGAUCAUGGAGUCCGCCACAGCGUAAAAGUCCCUAUUCCCGAGUCAUCAAGGGAAGAGGACUAUAAUCAGGAGUCGGAGAACAAGAGAAAGAAGAAGCGAACAACACAAGACACCCCACAAGAGCAACAAGCGAGUACUAUGUACGCCGCAAUGACGCCUACUGCUUCAGCACCUGCUAGUCGAUAUUCGGGAAACCUUCCGAAGUGUGGAAAAUGCAACUUUCACCACACUGGAGUGUGCCGGGAAAUGCAGUGUCUAAACUGCCACAGAAAAAGACACACAGUCUGUUACUACAGGGCACCGGCUCAACCGAUCUCCCCAGUCUUCGGAGCUGAAGAAAACCAAGCCUGUUAUGGCUGUGGUGAGAAUGGACACAAUCAGAGGGACUACCCAAUAAUGAAGAACUCAAGAGCGGAUGGACGUAUUCUGAUGAUCACCGCAGGAGAAUCUACCCUGGAGUCGUCGACGAGUAGUGGUACGUUUUCAAAAUAGUAAUUACAUUUAAAAUUAAUUUAUAUUCAUAUAAGAUUAAAAAUUUGGGGAUGACACUUAAAAGUAACUAUAACUACUCACAUGUUGAAAUAGGUCGUAAUAUUCAAGAGAACUAAAAAGAUCCCUUAGAGAAGCUAUUAUGGCUUACCAUAUACAUUAGGGUUGUGCGCAACUGAGAUGUUGCAACCUUAGAGUGAGUGACUCCGCUUAGGUCCCCUUUCCUUAAUUGGUUGAGGAUUUGAGGCAGAGAUGCUCAGUCGACUGCCUGGCUCAUCUUAAGUAUUCCCAACUUGUAUAUGACGGACGAUGGUAGUGGUACCAUGGGGGAUCAUGGUAUAAAAGUAUCCCUUGAGUAAAUAAAGCACUUUUAAUUAGAUGUAUGUGCACAUAGCGGUACGAAACAUAGGAGUGUUAAUUUCAAUAUAAAAGUCAGGAAAUUCGAGAUCAGUUACAAGGAGUACAUUGUUGAACAUACUAGGAGUACAGUACCGAGCAUACCAGGGAUACAUCGUAGUUUAUCAGACGUUUCUUUCAUUUGACCAAAACUUUGUUCAGUAUAGAGUCCGUUGUUUUCUUUCAUCAUGAGUUGGUGUGGUCCUCACCAUACUGAGUUUAUAUGUUUCUAUCGCCUCGAUCGGCAAGUUCUCGAAACUUUCAUCAUUCGUACCGAAAGUCUGACCUGAAUCAAAAUUUUUUAUCUUUCGCAUUCUAAACCCCCGAAGUACUCAUGCGAAGAGUACUUUGUCCUCCUCAGCCUUAUCGUCAGACGUCUGCAGACCGUCACGAAAUACCACUCGUCCAGCAGACCAAGUUCGAGCAUAGAGGCUAUGGACGAAUACAACCCGCCUAUCAUUUUGAAUGUAUACGCAAGGGUGGUAUAUGAGACUGAUUACGUAGAUCUAGUAUGUGUGUUUCCGCCCUAUCUCCUGUUUUCCCCGUGGGUUGCGGACCUAGGGCAGAGUCGCACAUCCGACAAUCCUACUAAUCAUAAUAAUAUAUGACUUGUAUACACGAGGUAAUGAUAGAUGGACCAAGUAUGAAUCCUAUCAAGAACACCAGUGCAAGGUUGCCAGGUCUACGAGUGAGUAUUCUACAAAGCAGAAGAACUCAACCCCAGUAGUAACGUUAAGAGAGCUAAUUUUGGGACAAAAUUCAUUCUAACGGGGGGAUGAUGUGACAACUCAAAACUUUCCAAUUUGUUCAACCAUCCACUUCAAUAUGAGUUAAAACUACUUCUACUAACUUGCAAACUUUUUGGAAUAACUUUGAGUGGUUUAAAGUUAGUGCUCCAUGAGAUAUCAGGAGAGUGGAUACCCUAAGGUUUACUAUGUAGCAAUAAGUGCCCAAAACUUCAAGAGUUUUGAGUUUGCGGUCCAAAAAGGUAUUGGGACCAUAAACCCAAAAGACUAUAUAAGUGAGACUUAGAAAUUUUAAUCACUUUUUCACAUUUCCAAAGACUAAGGCCAUUUCUCUCUCAAGUAUCAUCCCGUUUUCUUCAAAGAUCUUCAACUAGUAAGUGUUUCUAGCCCUCUUAUCAUUAGAUCAAGUGUUAAAGAUCAAGAAAUCAUCAAAAUUCCCUAAGAACAAGGUGUUCACAGCCCAAGAUCUUCUUGGACCGUGAACACUAAAAGUAUGGCUUAAAUGUGCCUUUUGUCCCUUUAGACCUUGGAAACAAGUAUAGCAACAACCCUUGACAUGUUUAAACCUUAAGAGCAUCAAGAAAACACCCAAAAUCACAAAGGAUAAGGUGUUUACGGUCCAAGAAUCUCCUUGGACCGUAAACCCUAAAAAGGGUGCUUAAAGUGUGCCAAAGUGCCCUAAACUCUAGCCAAACCUUAGAAGAAAACAUGGAAACUUCCUUUGAUAUGUUUAGCACAAGAAAAUCACAAAAAUGUCCCAUUUCUAGGUGUUUACGGUUUGGGGAGCUCCCAAAACCGUAAACACCCCAAUGAGGGUUUUAAUGCCCCAUAUUCCUUCCUUAAGCCAAGAAACUAGCCUAGACCUUUACCUAGAAGUGUUUAGGACUUGAAAACUUCAUUAGACCAUAAAUCAUAUGAGUUUACUACCGUAAAACCAAAGACAAAUGGUCCAAAAACCGUAAACCCUAUAAAGGAGUGAUAUGUUGCCCUAAUCACUUCCUAAGGCUAAGACUUGAAGUUAGGAUGCUUCAAAAUGACUUCUAGGACUUCAAACCACCAAAUGGUCAUAGUACCACUCAUGGGUUCCAACCGUAAACUCAAGUGGAGUUGGUUACAAAACCAUAAACACCAAUUAGUGCCAUUUCACUUCCCAUUGUUGAAUCACAUUUGAUUCCAACACCUAGCCAAGGUGUUUCCUAGUCCCGAAAGGUGUUAUCAAUCAUAUAGUUGUUUAAAACACUAUAUUCAUGUCAAUAUGUGUCCUUAUAUAUCAUUUAGGACUUAUUGUGUCUCGGGACUUCAUUCUUGGAACNUUCUCAUCCGUACGCGCAUACCCUUUUGAACCACCCACAUCAGGUGAGUUCAUACCCCGUAAUGAAUCUUUUAAACUAUUUUAACUGUUUUAAGGGGGGGAAUACAAGUUGAACACAAUUAUAAUUGUGUAAAGGUUUGUUAUAAACAUCUUUCAAAAAUGUUACUUAUGUCAUUUAAAAGUUGUCAAUACAUUUCAAAACUCUUUUAAAGGUUGUGUUACUUUAUAGUUGUACAAAACUCCGUUUUUAAAGUAUAAGCAUAACUUGGUAGAUAAAUGAGUCUUUUCAGUAACAGUACAGUUAGAACAUUAGUAAACUAUUAUAGGUAUAGUUUAGGAGAAUGCUAUUCAUUACUUCUAGUACAAUGAAGCACACAAAGCAAAAAAAAAUACAAGAACAGAACAAACAGUGAAGAGAAUCAAACAAUACCAGAAUAGAACAUAACAAACCAGUUAGGUUGCUAUAGCAUGAUAACACACAGACAGGAUCUAAUUAUACCAAUGAAUCACUAACGCAUUAGUGAUGGUUAUAUUGGGUAUACAUGAUCAUAUAACUUUAAUGCGAAUUACACGGCUUGCAUGGAUUUGUUGGGGUCGCGUUGGGUUCCCUCAAUCUCUUUACAUUGAGAGCGUUUAGUAGGGGUUCUAGCUUUCACAUUAUGACCGUAAUAAAAUGAAUAUGUUUUUAGGUUAAUAAUACCUCCGCAUGUCAUUAUAAACGACAUCAGUGUACUCACUUCUCCCAUUACUUUCAUAAAGUGUCGGUAACACUUGAAAGUUGAUCUAUUUUCUAUUCGAGAUAGUUAUAAACUAGGAAGAAUAUACUUCUACAUUUGACAAAGGAACCGUCGGGUCUUGGUAGAAGGCUACUUUCAAAAUAGUCGAGUCUUCGUAGAAGGCUUCUUUCAAAACAGUCGAGUCUUGGUAGAAGGCUGCUUUCAAAACAAUCAAGUCUUGGUAGAAGGCUACUUUUAAAAGUUAGGACCAUAAUGCUAACGUUAUAAUUCCUUAAUGUAUACACUAUAGGAUACAUAUAUGCUAAGUAGAUUCCGACAGCUAAUAGGAUGUGUGCUCUUCGCUGUACGUCCUGUUCCCGUUGGAUGUGGGCUUACACUGAGGUCACCCACUCUAUUAUCUACCCGAAUCUAUAUAUAUUUAUGCUUAGUAUACAUUAAGUCAUCAUAAUGGUACCAUGUAUGGAUCAGGUCAUAGGACACAGACUCAACGCACAGUUAUUCUAGUACAAAACUUACUUUUCAAAGUAAGUACUUUUGUAUACAAAACUAGCGAUUUCCCAGUUAAGGGCUUAAUCAAUUUUAUUUUGCCAGUACAGUUUUAAAGACUUUAAGUGAGUUAACUCUAUAACACCUUAGUUUAUACACCAUGUUUAUAUAUAAAACUAGUAUCCAAUAGGUAGUUAAAUGUAUGUUUUCCCCCGACUUCUUGUUCCCGUUGGAUGUGGGCUUAGGGCAGAUUCCCCCAAUUAACUAUCUACCCGAUAUCAAAUUAUAUAUAGCAGUAUAAACAAAGCUAUUAUAAAAGUAAUCACCGUAGUCAAUGUUUUACUAUAAGAAAUAUAGGUUUUCUUAAAAGAACUCUCCAUUAGAUAUAAAGGAAUCAUUACAAAUAACUCCAUGAGUAACAAGUAAAUACACCAAGGUUAUAUAUGACAACGAUCUAACAACCAAUGGAAUGUGUGCGAUCCGCCUUACUUACUGUACCCUGUUGGGUUGUGAGUUGAGGGCAGAUGCGCACAAUCAAUUGUUUAUUUACUCCAAGUAUAUAUAACUUGUACCCACUUAGUACGCAUAGAAAGGCUUGUAGUGUCAUUUUACUUAACUUCCAUUAAAGUAGGAAAUAUAGGAUUUUCUAGAGGAACAGGCAAACUUUUCAAAACAGAACUUACAGCUUAUAUCACUUUUACAUAUACAUUUUUUCCACAUCUUACAGCUUACAUCACUUUACAUAUACAUUUUCAACAACACUUUACAACUUACUCACAUCACUAGAAUCUUAUGAACUCACCAGCUUAAUUGCUGAUCAACUCUUUCAAAUAACUUGUAUUCUCAGGAGACUAUUAGACAGGUGAUCGUGCUGGGAAUUUAGAAGAAGGACCAUUACAGCUUCAAGUCUUGUUUUGUUAUUUGUUUAUGACUUCUAUGUUUUGUGAACACACACAUUGUAAACACUUUCUUUCUUUCUAAAUGAAAUGGUUGUUCAUUACUUGCUUACCAUAUACAUAUCUCAUGAUACUUGACAUGACGUCCUCCACCCCCGAACAUUUCCGCCGUUCCGGUUUUUGGGUGUGACAGAUUACAGCAUCCCUCUUCCAAUAUAUAAAAUAGUUGUUUUGUCCUAGCCUUAAUAUUUCAUUUUGGGUGAUCUAUUAAGGACUUAAAUCAACUAACUUGAAUUUCUCCCAUUGUCGAUGUUUUGUUUAGACAACAAUGAUCUUCACGAAUCUCAUGGAACAAGCUUUCCUAAUGAAGAUGUUUUCCUGAGUUUGGCUCAUGGAAAUCAUAAUUCACUUCCUCCCCCUCCUCCAAUUAUUUUCCCUGACCCACAAGCUCAAAGACUUGAAAAGUUCAAGAUCACUCAAGCCCUGAUCAUAAUGAAACAUGAAGAUGGAAGACAUGUGUGCACUCAUGUCUUAGGAAUGAAGUCACGGAUUGACAGGUUGAGAAUGUUGGCUAUCAUUAUCCCAAGGAAGUUGGCUAUUGAUUAGGUUCUUCAGUCACUUUCUGAGUCAUAUAGUAAGUUUAUUAAAGACUACUGUGUGACAGAUCACGACAUGACCCUAAUAGAUCUUUCUUAUUUGCUUAUUGUUGCUGAAUCAACAAUGAUUUGGCACAAUAGUCAAGUAAAUAUGGGUGAAAUGUCUAUUUCUCAAACUUCCAUGGACAUUGACAAUGGUAACAUUAGAAGUCCAGAAAAGCUUUCUCGUCCCAAUGGAAAGGGAUCGGCCUUGGUCAACCCGGUUGACCGGAAGGUAUAGAGAAAGGCUAAGUCUGUGAUAGUCCCGUGUACCAUUCCCAAAUAGUCUAUAUGUUUUCAUUGUUGAGAGAAGGCGCAUUUGUUGCGAAACUGCCCUAAAUACCUGAAAGAUCUAAGAGAAAAGGAAAAAUCAAAAAGGUUUGACUCUGUUUCAGGUAAGUCCACUAUCUAACUCUGCUAAGUUCCUAGUUGAUGAUUCUUAAUACAAAAUGUGACUCAGUUGCAUUUUUAUGUUUGGCAGGAUCAAGCACAGGGAAGGAAACUUAAUGAAAGAGUAUGCUAAAUCUGAUCGCGAAGAUGUAUUUCUAGCGCAUGGUUGAAGAUCGGAUUCUUGAGCUACUACUUAGGAGUUAUGAUAGAUUGCUAGGAAACAUGUAAUUAAUAUCAUAGUUUUCAUUUCAAGUUGCACUGUAUGGAGAAGUUUUCCACAUUUUAUAAAUAAAAUUUUGUUUUACUUUAUUUUAUAUCUCCUUGCAAAGGCACUUAUGAAAAAUUGAUGUUUGUAUGUUUCUAGCGAUAUUGGAAAUAUGAAUUUGAUUUCUUCAUUUGUGGUAGUGUCUAAAUUACCAAAUAAUGAAAUAUUCUCAUCACCCAAGUUUCAAUUAGAUUGAAACUUGGAAUCAUACAAGUUGUAUAGUAUGAUGAAUGAGAAUUUUCAUCUUUCGAAAAUUAAGACUAAUUCCUUGUUCAUAUGUAUAUGUAAGUCAGGUGAAGGACUAAGGGAUCAAGUACACAUUCUUGUGCACUGGUCAGAGUCCACCACAAAAGAUCGAUAAGACUAUUCGUCAUGAUUUACUAAAGUUUAGUAAAUAUGGUUAUACUUACAAGCUUAAGUGUAAUUCUGAGACAUUGGAAAAGUUUCAAUGUAUGGCAGAGCGAAUGAGAAGAAUCAAAUUAGCCAGAAGGAAAAAAGUUUCUCAAAUAUGAAAAUAUGGGAGAGUACUUUAGUAUCAUGUUUUAUGAUCGUCAUAAAGAUUAUGAUCAUCUAAGUGCAUUCUGAUAGCUAAGAAGAAGAGUCAUCAAUUGUUGAAGUGGUCAAAUCAAGAAGAUGAGUCAUACUUCAUUCCAAAACAAAUUCCAUACUCCAGGAUUGCAACUUGGGUGACACAUCUUAAAGAAGGUUUAUUAACACUUGUCAAAUGUAAGAGUAAAAGUUUUCUAUUCUUGUACAUUUGGAGCUGGUAAGUUGUGAUGUUUUUGAUAAAACAAAGGCCAACUAAGGCCAACUGUGUGAAGUGUUUCUCUUGAUUAGAAUCCACACUAUCUCUUAAAUAUUUUGCAAGAGCGUCUUGUAUGUCAAGAGGACAGUGGGAGUCUAAAAGAUCCUCAAAUAGUUUCAAGAACUAAUCAAGAAGAAAACUUGUAUUUUAUCACUAACACACGACUAGAGGUUUAUAACCUAUCGUGUUGACAUAUUCUUAUUUUUGUGCUCAUUCCAGUUAAAAUUGGCUAUGCAUUUGAGUUCUACAUGAUCUCAUUUGUUUGCAUAACUACUUGGAAGCAAUGGUAGGCCUUGUGCUGCCAAGUGGCAAGAAGUUAAGAUUUCACAAGUUCAGUCCAUAUGAGUUAGGAUUUGUCACUAACCUAGUCUUGUGGUUAUGGUAUUGAUAAAUUCACGUGGAUAAGCACAUAUACACCAUAAAAUCUAAGUUUCAUAAGGUUUCUCUCCGAUUCAUGAAAAUGAUGGUGAUGAAACACUUUCACUAAGUAGAUUUUAAGUAGAUAGCAUGGUCUAAACAAUUCAGACUAUGAUUACGGCAUCCCUUUUCAUAGGUCUGAAAUUGUUUAGACACACAUGUGAGCUAUCUAACAUAAGGUGUAUGAUUUUGAUAAAGUCUUAUCAAAGAAAUCUCGUAUCAGAAAUCUAAACUUUGGUAAUAAAGUAUUGAUAUCUAGAAGUCCAGUUGUUUUCUGGAUACAUGUCAAAGCUAGUGGGAGCAUAAUUGUUAUGCUAAUAAUCAUCAUGUUAGUGGGAGCAUAAUAAUUAUGAUAAGUAUUGCAAGUUAGAAAUGUUAAUAUAGAAAACAAAAGUUCCAAUUCGUUUAGUUGCAGGGGUUGAAAAAGUUGUNUCAAGAGUAUAUAUAUAUAUAUAUAUAUAUAUAUAUAUAUGUGUGUGUGUGUGUGUGUGAAUUUCAUGUUGGAUUGGUUCAACUCAAGGAAAUUCUAUAUAUUGUGUUCUCAAAAUUUGAUUAUGAUUACGGCAUCCCUCUUCAUAGUCAAAUUUCGAAAACAUGGCAAAUAAAAAUAUUGUAGCAAAAGACUGGUGCAGAAUCGUGUCUUUAUGUAAGACAUCAUGAAUCGUGUCCCAUUUGCUUGGGUACAGGAUCAAUUUCAAGUGCUAUAAUAUUUAUCUUUUCUAAAUUUUCCAAAUGCCUGGGGCAUUAAGAAGGGAAAAGGUCUAGAAUUGGAUAUGACUAAAAUGAUUAAGCAAGUGUCGAGGACAAUCUAAGGUUUACCAAAGAUUGGUUGCUCAGAGACAGUUGGAAGUAUAGUGUUAACUUUGGAAGAACAUAUUGACAUAUUCUAAAAAGAGGCAACUCUUGUUGAGAAGUGAUAGUCGAAAUGGGAAUAUGGAGUUGUCUCCAUGGGUGGAAGCAAGUUGUGUAAGAUUAGAAAACUUAAUGAAAGAAGCCUGUUCAAAGCAAUGUACUUUAAAUAUGAGACUUCGUUUCCAUGGAGUUGAUCUCCAUUGGAAUACUCUAUAAUGACUGUUGACAAGUCUUUGUGACUUUGUGCAUUAGAAUCAUUGAAAUUAUGUUCUUACAUUUACGAUAAGGAUUUGGGAGUGUGAAAUUAGAAUCAUUGAAAUUAUGUUCAAUUGGUCUAUUUCACAAAGUAAGGAUCAUAGACAAACAUAGAGUGCAUACUUGGUGUAUGGCAAAGCUAUUGUUUAGAAAAAGAUAGUGUACAUGCUUGGAGCAUGGGACAACUAGUGUUUUUAAUUCAAGUAUAAAGUUGAUAAAAUCGAAACAAUGAAUAAUGAGUAAUCAGUAUGGUGAUAAAUAUAAAGUGUUAUGUUUAUAUUCAUAGGUUUUGAUAGCAUAUUGGAUUCAAUUAUUCUUGUGUUUCAUUUUGCAUGUUUUGACUUCCAGAAUAAUCUAGGUCAUUCUUCCCGAAUGACUAAGUUAUUCAAACUAUCCGCAGUCGGUCAUAUGUUGGAAGUAGAUAUGAAUCAAGACUGUCAUGAUAUGGCUUGUAGAUGUCUAAGAUGUUAGACAUAUCAAGAGUUGCUACAAUACUCAUGAGUGCUCGUAAGUUCUGAGUAAGUUCUUAGUGAUGACACAUGUGAGUGCUUGGCCAAGCCAGGACUAAUUUGAUUUGUUUAAUUAGUCAGUCGUCAUAAAUCAGAAAUCGGGAAACAACAAAUGGACAGAGAGAAUGAUUAAUAAUCCAUGUCUCAGUCCAUAUGAUAUCUAGAAUGGAGGAAUAUAUGAUCCCUUAUCUGAUGGACACGUCAUUGACAAAUGUCAGAGUUCAUUGACAAGGUCAGAGUUUGACAACGUCUUUAAGAGCUACGAUUGCCAGUUAGGUUUUGGAGUCAUACAUAAUAAUAGUUUUAGACUUAUCCAAGUGGGAGACUGUUGGAUUAAUUUCUAAGCCCAUAACUAUAAUUAGUAUGUACUUGACCCGACCCGGCAUGGUGCAUUUGGGUUGCACUUCACUGGAACAAUUUAUAUGGAUAAUCUUUUGAGAAUAGUAUGUUUAUGAUUUAUAUUAAUAUAUUAUAAGUUCUAAUAUAUUAAUAUGAAAUCAUAUUAUUUAAUUAGUAUUGAUCAAGAAUUAAUUUAGAACUAAUUAAGUGAUAAAAAAAGGAACUAAUUGAAUAUGGANCAUAUUAUUUAAUUAGUAUUGAUCAAGAAUUAAUUUAGAAUUAAUUAAGUGAUCAAAAGUAACUAAUUAAAUAUGGACUCUUAUAUAUAUAUGGUGGGCCAAGUUCAUUUAGGUUGGGAUAAGCUUUCAUGGAUAGUCCAUGGAGCUUUUAACCCAUGGAUCCUAUGGAAAUGAAAGGUCAUGGGUAUUAGGGUUUACAUAAAGUAACCCUAAUCCUCCAUACUAUAUAAAGAGGUCUUUGGCACAUGAAAUGGCACUAGUGUGGGAAAUCCAAGAGUGGACCGAUUUCUAGUGUGCAUGAUAUUCUCUCAAGGUUUUCCAAGGUGUUUUGGUGAUUUGUGAUUCCACUUGAGGCUUCCACACUAUUGGGGCUAAGCUCUUAAAGUUCAAGACUUCAGGCUUCAUCAAAAGGUAUGU
rnacentral:lncRNA from 1 species